CCUAAAUACUACCCAGUGACCGAUAGCGUAUAGUACUGUGAAGGAAAGGUGAAAAGCACCCCGGGAGGGGAGUGAAAAAGAACCUGAAACCCUGUGCCUACAAGCACCUAGAGCACGUCAAUGUGUGAUAGGGUACUUUUUGUAGAACGGUCCGGCGAGCGAUUGUAUGCAGCAAGGUUAAGGACUUAAGGUCUGGAGCCGAAGCGAAAGCGAGUUUGAAAAGGGCGUUAAGUUGCAUACAAUGGGCCCGAAACCGGGUGACCUACCCAUGGUCAGGUUGAAGUGGAAGUAAAAUUCCAUGGAGGACCGAACCGACCUCCGUUGAAAAGGCGGCGGAUGAACUGUGGGUAGCGGAGAAAUUCCAAUCGAACCCGGAGAUAGCUGGUUCUCCCCGAAAUAGUUUUAGGACUAGCCUCAAGUUAGAUACCUGGAGGUAAAGCACUGAAUAGCCUAGCGGCCGAGAGGUUAGCGAAGCUUAUCAAACUCAGAAUGCCAGAGUAUUGAUGCUUGGGAGUCAGACAGUGUCAGAUAAAUGUCAUUGUCAAAAGGGAAACAGCCCAGAUCUACAGCUAAGGUCCCAAAGUCAGGUUAAGUGGAAAACGAUGUGAAGAUACGUAGACAACCAGGAUGUUGGCUCAGAAGCAGCCACACAUUCAAAGAGUGCGUAAUAGCUCACUGGUCGAGCGUCUUUGCGCGGAGAAUUUAACGGGGCUAAACCUGACACCGAAGCUUAGGCAAUACAGCAAUGUAUUGGGUAGGGGAGCGUUGUAUACGCGGUGAAACAGUAGCGCAAGCGGCUGUGGAGUGUAUAGAAGUGAGAAUGCCGGAAUGAGUAGCGCGAAUGCAGUGAGAAUCUGCAUGGCCGAAAGCCUCAGGUUUCUGGAGGAAGGUUCGUCCGCUCCAGGUUAGUCGGGAGCUAAGGUGAGGCCUAACGGCGUAGCCGAUGCACAGACGGUAGAGAUUCCGUCACCACCAAAAGAGUUAAACACAGGGACACAUUUGAAGUCUCGGAGCCGGGUGUUGGUUCCGGUAGCGAUCGAGGGAAAUUAGUACCGAAGUCCGGGAUGGAAGAUGGCGAGAAAAGCUGUGUGUAUUUCUGCGGUGCCCGUACCGCAAACCGACACAGGUAGGUAGGAAGAAGAUUCUAAGGCCAACGGGAGAAGGGUUGUUAAGGAACUCGGCAAAUUGACCCCGUAACUUCGGGAGAAGGGGUGCUCCAGAGAUGGAGCCGCAGAGAAUCGGCCCAAGCAACUGUUUACCAAAAACACAGGUUUGUGCUAAAUCGAAAGAUGACGUAUACGAGCUGACGCCUGCCCGGUGCUGGAAGGUUAAGAGGAGAUGUGCAAGCAUUGAAUCGAAGCCCCAGUGAACGGCGGCCGUAACUAUAACGGUCCUAAGGUAGCGAAAUUCCUUGUCAGGUAAG
rnacentral:rRNA from 1 species